UCGAACGAUGAAGCCCAGCUUGCUGGGUGGAUUAGUGGCGAACGGGUGAGUAACACGUGAGUAACCUGCCCCCGACUUUGGGAUAAGCCCGGGAAACUGGGUCUAAUACCGGAUAUGACUUUCCACCGCAUGGUGGGUUGUUGAAAGAUUUAUCGGUGGGGGAUGGACUCGCGGCCUAUCAGCUUGUUGGUGAGGUAAUGGCUCACCAAGGCGACGACGGGUAGCCGGCCUGAGAGGGUGACCGGCCACACUGGGACUGAGACACGGCCCAAACUCCUACGGGAGGCAGCAGUGGGGAAUAUUGCACAAUGGGCGGAAGCCUGAUGCAGCGACGCCGCGUGAGGGAUGACGGCCUUCGGGUUGUAAACCUCUUUCAGUAGGGAAGAAGCGAAAGUGACGGUACCUGCAGAAGAAGCGCCGGCUAACUACGUGCCAGCAGCCGCGGUAAUACGUAGGGCGCAAGCGUUAUCCGGAUUUAUUGGGCGUAAAGAGCUCGUAGGCGGUUUGUCGCGUCUGCCGUGAAAGUCCGAGGCUCAACCUCGGAUCUGCGGUGGGUACGGGCAGACUAGAGUGAUGUAGGGGAGACUGGAAUUUCCUGGUGUAGCGGUGAAAUGCGCA
rnacentral:rRNA from 1 species